UACGGAGUGUGCAAGCGUUACUCGGAAUCACUGGGCAUAAAGGGCGCGUAGGCGGGUUUCCAAGUCGGUUGUGAAAUCCCUCAGCUCAGCUGAGGAACUGCAUCCGAUACUGUUUGUCUUGAGGACGGGAGGGGAGAGUGGAACUUCUGGUGAAGCGGUGAAAUGCGUAGAUAUCAGAAGGAACGCCGGUGGCGAAAGCGACUCUCUGGCCCGUAUCUGACGCUGAAGCGCGAAAGCUUGGGUAGCAAACGGG
rnacentral:rRNA from 1 species